UGAGGAAUAUUGGUCAAUGGACGCAAGUCUGAACCAGCCAAGUAGCGUGCAGGAUGACGGCCCUAUGGGUUGUAAACUGCUUUUAUAUGGGGAUAAAGUGGGGAACGUGUUCCCUUUUGCAAGUACCAUAUGAAUAAGGACCGGCUAAUUCCGUGCCAGCAGCCGCGGUAAUACGGAAGGUCCAGGCGUUAUCCGGAUUUAUUGGGUUUAAAGGGAGCGUAGGCUGUUUGUUAAGCGUGUUGUGAAAUGUAAGAGCUCAACUUUUAGAUUGCAGCGCGAACUGGCAGACUUGAGUGCGCACAACGUAGGCGGAAUUCAUGGUGUAGCGGUGAAAUGCUUAGAUAUCAUGACGAACUCCGAUUGCGAAGGCAGCUUACGGGAGCGCAACUGACGCUAAAGCUCGAAGGUGCGGGUAUCGAACAGG
rnacentral:rRNA from 1 species